CUGGUUAAGGCGGUGCGGACUAUACAACUCCUAGUCCCUUAGGAGGUUUAGAAAGAGCGAAACACAAGGGUUUUUAAAUGCCGACAAUCUGUAGAGGAAAUACUUUGGGGAAAAAGGAAGAGGCUGCACUUUGGUGUAUGGAAGGUGCAAAGAAACUUUUUGUACAGUAUGUUUUUUUAUCACUUGUAAUUAACUUCUUGUUCUCCCUCUUUAUCGAUAUAAAUAAUACAACUUUUGCUGGUUCUUUAAAAAGAAAUUGUUGACAAUGGAGCUACAACCUCUUCAAACCGGUAAGAAAACGACUACAAAGGGAAUGUGAUGGUACUACAUGAUGAAAGAUGUUGAUGCAGACAUGUUGAAACAUGGUUGCUAAGACUACGGAGCUAGGAAGGCAACGACGCACGACGUAACCGUACAGUGCAAUUGACAACACAUGACCCCAAAUGUUAGACGGUAUAGUGCUUAUCGACUUGGUUAGUCUAGAUCUUAACUUGUAGGUCAAGUAGUUUUUUGUGUUUAUCCAUCGUGAUCUUAUUUGUUGUACAAGUCACGCUAAGGGCUAUUUCUACAUUUUUGUGUUUGAGAACUGGAAUAAAGCUUUCUAGCUUUUUUAGAAUAAAUAAAGC
rnacentral:lncRNA from 1 species